rnacentral:lncRNA from 1 species
AGAGGACCAACAGGAGAAAUAGGAACAAGCAAGUGUGGACCGAGUCAGCUAAGAUGGUCACUGUAGUCCAUGGAGGCCAAGAUCAUCAACUUAAGUCACCGUUUUUGACCUGUUGGUGCAAAAGCUGGUCUGCAAACACAAAGGGCUAAUACCCGAUUCAAACGUUAAGGCGUGCCAGCCAAUUUGACCUUACUAUCGGCAAAGGUGAUAACUCGAAUACUUUAGUCCUGACAACAGCGAUGCGCCCGAAUGUCACGGCUAAGAGGUACUCACGCGGAACUUGAGAACACGCCGAGCUUAAGUCGACGAAUUCCUAAGAACUCGUAAUAAAAAGGAAAAAGUAUGACGAAGUCGUCGAAAAAAGUGGAUGCUGGAAUAUGAGUAAAAACGUGUGUUUGAUUGGUUGAUAGAUGUCUCAUUACAAGGUCUUAGGGUCUAUAUUUAUACCCGGCUCAAAGAGCUAUAGCCUGACACGAUUAGAAUUCGAAUUCCAAAUUACACGGAAUCCGUAUACAAAACGAUGUAAAUAAUUAAGGAAAUAACAAAACUAUCUCCGGUAACAAACUGAAACUCUGCCACAAACCAUCGGUGGCUUCCGAACUCUCCCUUCGUAUCAUCGGCAGACUCCCUUGCCAUAGUCAUCGGCACAGACACAUCACCGCCUGUAGACUUAGUCAUGCUCAACCUCUCCUUCAUCGGCAACCAUCCUCAUCGGCAACUUUUCCUGUAAACAAAACACUGCCGUCUUAUCCUGCCGGCCUGGACACGUGCCCAAAAACGGUGUCAACACAUGCCCCCCAAUUUCGGAGUAUGAAAUCAUCAAUGCUCUGAAAUUCCCUGCAGUAAUGAUGCCUUUUUCCGCAAUUAAUGCUCCUAAUCUGGUAACCAACAACCUCAAUCUGAACAACUCUGAUCCUAUUCUUCUGCAUAUUCCUCGAAAUCCUCAACUUCCUAAACGGGCAUUUCCUUCUCAACCGUACAUCGGCAAUAUUACCGUUACAAAAAUCUGCCGAUGAACUGAUCAGGACAUUCGUACAAACGGCUAUCUUCACUUCACUCGCCCAUCGGCAAUAUGACCGUUACAGGACGCUGCCGAUGGACCGACCAGGAGAUCCCGCACAGCAAAAUAUCUCCAGAUAAUGACCGCUUCCCGUCAAAUCACCUGCACAAUCCCUCGAUUAUCGUGCGAACAAUUACCAUAUCUACCUGAGCACCCUCGGAUUUCUCGGAUGCGGCAAGGAGAUAAGUCAGAUUUGCCCUUGCCCAUUUUGUCCUAUAAAUAGUUCCUUCUCGGGUACUCCUUCUCCAUCACAUCAUUCCACCAUCCCAACUUUACUUUCCUUGCGGCGGCGCCAUUCAAAAUCUCCAAGACCUCCGACAAAGACUCUUCCUCACCAACCCCGGAGCCCUCAGAGAUCCCCCUCGUUGCAAGAUGGCUAUUAGCUUCAUCGUCCCUGAGGUGAGUUCUUCAUUCCGUCUCCUAUACUUUUCCUCACAUCCCCGUUCAUCCGCAAUCCAUUUUACUGAAUAUUUUUCUUUUCUUUUCUUUGUGUUAUUUUUCUUUAUUUCCAAAACCACCAGGAAUUGUCCAACAAAAUUGUCAUCCCUACCGAUCAACCACACCUCCAAUGCCUCAGUCCUCUAGGGGAUCCAGAUCCAACCGAUCUUAUUAACGCAGAAACCAACAGGAUCCCUUUCAGAACCAAAAAUUUUUCUUUAGAUCUGUGGAAAGACACCUUCCGUUCUUGGCCCAGCCCUACUGUAGGGUGGAAAGACUGGUUCUUGAGGGUCAACAAUUCCAAUGAAGUCCAGUGGGGUGAGAGAAAGCUAGAUCAAUGCAUUAGAUUAUCCAUUGCCGAUAUGCACAGGAAUGAGUCACUGUUGAUAGCUGCAUCUUACUUUUGGUCAGACACCCUCAACGCUUUUGUCUUUGGCCAUGGCCCUGCUUCUCCUACUCUUGCCAAUGUAGCCAUGCUCACCGGUCUAGAUAUAUCUUCUGCCGAUAGCACCCACUUUUUUGACACUGCUCCUAGUGCCAAAGUGGAAACUCGCGCCAUCGGCGGCUGGUCAGGGUACAUUCAGAAGUAUCGUGGGACGGGGUCUGUCAGCACAAAGGAACAAACCACCUUUCUGAACAUGUGGCUGGACAAGUUUGUGUUCUGUGGUCGAUCGGCAGGACCGACUUCCGUCUAUCUAUCGGCAGCAGAGAGACUGGCUAACGGUGGCCGAUUCCGUCUCGGCCGAUACUUGCUUGGCGCUGCUUACCAUCUCCUCCAUCAGGUGGCCAAGAAACUCCUGCUCGGCCAGUCCACUGGCAACUUAGGCGGCCCCUGGUGGUUCAUCAAUGUUGACGGUCCUUAAGUAUCAAAUUUAAUUAUCAAAUAAAUAAAGAAAAGGAUCCAAAUGAAAUCAAGAUCUAGACUUAGGGUUUUAUCUGACAGAAUUCCACGAGUUUUGGUGUUUGUCUAUUUCUGCAGGGGGUUAUCAGGAAAUAUGGAAGAAAGGCCCACAUGUCGGGAUUACGUAAAGAUAUUAACGUGCUGCGCAAUUAUCUUACAUCUAGAAGAUUCCAGAAGCCACGAGACCGAAGCGGAGACGAAACGGGGCCAGAGACAGGGCGCCCGCCCUGUCCUACUGGGUGCCCGCCCUGCCCCCAAGUCCAAUCAGGACUCUGCUUUGCGGGAGAUCUCCACCGACCUAAAGGAUGAAUCUAAACCAUACAAUCUAUGUCGGUUUGAUCCAACGGCCCAUAUUCACUUGGAGGGACUAUAAAACCAGACCCCCUGGCCCCUGGAGGAGAGAGCCUCUCAACCCUAAUUCAUUGUUCCAUCAAGGGAGAAGAAGCCUCUGAUCAAGAUUAGAGCCACCACAUCAAUUAGACAUUUAGAUUAGCAUAGCUACAUAGGAUUAGAACUAGAAGGAGUCAAUCUUCGAUUGGUUUCCGGAUCUGUCAAGAGGAUUCUUAGUAAUUCUCUAAUUGUGCUUCUAAUUGCUUUCUAAUUAUCUUUGUUCUUCAAUAUUAUGAAUAUGACUUUGUUCUACUUCAAUAUAUUGCUUAUGACUUUGCUCUACUUGCUUAUAUUCAAGAUUAUAUUGUUCUUAGUUUAUCAUAGUUAUGUACUUGGCUUAGUUAGAUUCGAUAUAUACACAUGCUUAGGAUCGUAUAGCGUUUAUCUAUCGGAUCCAUGGGUAAAUGAUAGAUAUUGUGUAGGCGUGGUGCUUAUACCGUAUUUAUCUGCGAUUGUACCCAAUAUGCCAGAUCGUGGGGUGGUUCGUGAUAGUGACAGCUUCAUUGAUUCUUAUAUAGUCCCCCUCUCGUGUAUUGGGCUGGCAGAGCAACAUUAUUACAGGGGUGUGAUUGCUAUGUUUCUCAAAUUCCUUGCUAAUAUCACUAUGCAUGGGCGUAGUCUUGUCUCACAAUGAUUGCUAAGUAUGCUUGCACUAACUAUGAUAUGCUAGACUAUAUAGUUAAGAAUAACUUAGGGAAUAUUCUUGUAGUUCGUUCUAAUACCAUGCUAAUGACUUUCUAGAGUAUCUAAUUGAGGUGCUUAUCAUAUUUAUUAUGUGGCUAGAUCAGAUUAGUUAUCCUUGUCACUAUUAUUAUUUCAUAUAUCUUUUAUGUGACACUUAUCCCUGUAUGAAGAGUUAGAUAUAAUGUUCUCAAUUAUACAUGCAAUGAUAGAUGCUCAAUCUCAUAUUCUAUUCUGUAAUCAAUAGUGAUGAUCGCUAAUCCCUUUCCAGUGGUAAAAAUAUAAAUAACGAUACCUGGAAUACUUCCCGGUUAAAAUGCUGCAUCGGUAUUAAUCUGUGCGCUUGCAGAUCCCAUUCAUUAUUUAUUUAGAAGAGCAAUUGCAUAUUUCAGUACCGCGUCUCUUAUAUCAUGCUGGGGAUGACAACUUGGCUUAAGUGGUGUGAGGGAUAGGUUUGGCAUUUUUGGCACCGUUACUAGAUUUAGAGAACUUAGUCUACUUUUGGUAAUGAUGUUAAGUAUACCCAACAAGCAUUUUUGGCGCCGUUGCCGGGGAAGGUUGAUUACCAAUCAGGAAUGGAAUAAAAGAUUUUGAGUCAUCAUUCGCAUCACUAAUAUGAUUGAGCUUAUCUAUUCUCUCAUACAGUUUUACCCCGAUAUUUUUCUAUUUUAUCUUAUGCAGGGGAAUGUAUGAAUAGAAGACAUCUUCCAGGAAAUUUUGUUGAUAAUCCCGAAGCAUUAUUCAAGAAGACGAGAGCAAAGCUCAAGAAGAGAUCAUCAACACUUCACGAAGAAGCUUCAUCCAAUCAAGAAGAUCAUCGGAACUUGUCUUCAGAGUUCGAAGCCAUGGCGAACAAAUCGAUCCGCGAGUUCUCAGCUCCCACUACGGACAACAUCCGCACUGGACCUGCUGCAGAGAUCGACGGCAACUUUGAGCUCAAGCCUGGACUUAUCAACAUGGUGCAAUCCAACCAGUUCUGUGGGAAGGCACACGAAGAUGCUAGUGCUCAUUUACAACACUUCCUAGAGAUUUGCAACACAUUCACCAUAGCAGGAGUUUCCAAAGACGCUAUACUACUUCGCCUCUUCCCAUUCUCACUGUUAGGAAGAGCAAAGCAGUGGUUCUACGCUACAAAGGAGAAGAAUACUACGUGGGCACUCUGCUCAACAAACUUCCUGGCUAAGUUCUUUCCCAUGGGCAAGACCAAUGCUCUCCGUGGGAAGAUUACAAGUUUUUAGCAACAAAAUGAUGAAUCUGUUCCAGAAGCAUGGGAGCGCUUUCAAGACUACAUCCUAGAAUGUCCCCAUCAUGGAAUGGAGAGUUGGCUAUUGAUGCAGACAUUCUAUCAUGGGCUCAGCAACAGUGCCCGAGAGACCAUGGAUGCUGCAGCUGGAGGAGCAUUCUUAUCACUUACUAUACCACAAGCCACAGCUCUUGUGGAGAAGAUGGCGUCCAACCAAAGCUGGAAUGAAGAGAGGACCCAGACACGCAAGAGAGGUGGAGGUAUGCAUCAGCUGAAGGAGGUAGACAUGCUGUCUGCAAAGCUAUACCUGCUCAUGAAGAAGCUCGACGAUAGAGCUGGAGACAAGAAAGAAGUUAUGCACAUCUACGACUCUCACAUGACUUGUGAGGAGUGUGGAGACACUGGACACUCAGGCAACCACUGCCCUGAGAUGCUUGAGGAUGUGAACUACAUCAACAACAACUACUACUACUACUACAACCGUCCUCAACAAAAUCAAGGUUGGAAUCAACAGAAGCCUAACUACUCAGGUAAUUAUCAAGGUAACAAUUCUUACAACAACAAUAGUAAUUUUCCACCUUUGAGAGAGUUAGUGUCUAAUCAAGAAAAGCUAAUGGAUAACCUAUCUAAGAAAUUGGUAUCUAAUGAUAAAAUGCUAGAAAAUAUAAAUAAUAGAAUGGAUAAUUUUUCUACUGCCAUCAAGAAUCAAAUUAGCUUUAAUAAAAUGAUUGAAUCUCAGUUAAAUCAAAUAGCUGCUGCUGUUCCUACUACUAACCCCGGUAUACCAUCACAACCGGAAGGAUUAGAAUCUGCAAAUCUUGUAGACGUGUUUGAUGCAGGUAAUUGGAGUAACCCCGUCAAUGAAUUCUCUACUGACCGUCUGCCGGUCAAGAAAGGCGAUCCAGGACGCCCCGUCAUCCCGAUCUCUAUCGGCAUGGUGGACGUUCCAGAAGCACUCUACGACUUUGGCUCUAGCGUCAACAUUAUACUCAGGGUACUCUAUGAAAAAUUCUUUACAUAUCCUUUACUAGAAACAACCAUGUGUUUGCAGUUUGCAGAUCAGACGAUAACUUUUCCAAAAGGAAUAGUGAAGAACCUUUGUGUCCGAGUUGGUACCUUAUAUGCCCCAGCAGACUUUGUAGUGGUAGAGACCGGAAAUGAUGAGAGAGCACCCAUCAUCUUAGGGAGACCAUUCUUGAACACCACGGGAGCUAUCAUCUACGCCAGUGCUGCUAAGAUCAGUUUCUACGUCAAAGGGAGGAAGGAGACAUUUUUCUUCAAGAACAAGACUACACAAAUUCCAGAUCAAUCCAGACGUGAAUCAAGGAAGAGGACCAACAGGAGAAACAGGAACAAGCAAGUGUGGACCGAGUCAGCUAAGAUGGUCACUGUAGUUCAUGGAGGCCAAGAUCACCAACUUAAGUCACCGUGUUUGACCAAGAAGGACGACCCAGGAAUGCCAAGCAUUUACUGCUCCAUAAAUGGAUACAACUUCUACAAGACAUUUUGUGACACCGGAUCGGGCGUCAACAUAAUGGCCGCAGUCACCUAUCGGCGCUUGUUCGGAACCAUGCCACUAAGACCAACAUACAUUCAGCUCCAGAUGGCAGAUCAGACAUUUCGAGAAGUUAAAGGAAUAGUAUCUGAUGUCCCAGUCAAAAUAGAUGAUCAUUUAGUCUACACAGACUUUCAAGUUAUUGACAUGGGAUAAGACGAGUAUGAUCCACCCAUCAUCCUUGGAAGACCGUUCCUCAGCACCGUUAAAGCAAUUAUCUACAUUGGAACCGGAGAAGUCCAUAUGCACUUCCCCUCAUAGAAGGUACGUCGUUACUUUACUGACCCUAACUAUAUCGUUGAAGAAUCUAAGCAGGUAAGAAAAUGACGCAACCGCAACCAGAGGAGGCAGAUCAUCAAGGACGGAUGGGCAGACUAUGAAGGAGAAGUUGUAAGAUCAGAAGACGUUGAGUUUAAAUAGAAUUAUCCAGAGGAGAUUGAAGCACCAAGUCAGGUGUGGAAAAUGAAGAUAACUAUACAAGAAGAGGAGGCGCUGCCGGAAGUACCGACUACGCCACCCAACGAACCUCAGGACGAUUAAUAAAAUGGAGAGUCCCGUUCGGAGGACUUAAAAACACCGAACGCCUUGCCAAGAGGUAAACUUGGUAGUUAUCCUUUCCUUUUCAAUUAUUUAAAAUAGUUUACUUAGUUAAUCAUAUUCAUACUAUCUUAAAAAGAAAAUAAAAAUGUGAAAAAACAGUAAGCCCCAUGUGAGUAUACGAGUGGCAUAAAACCCAUAAGUACAUUCACUGUGGUGGCAUAAAAAAUAAAAUAAUUAUUUUUCUGCUCUAUAAAAACAAAAAUAUAAAAACAGGGAGUAAUAUUUAUUAAGGAGUCUCAACAUGAUAAAGGCUAGAUAUUUAUGCUAACACUUAAUCAGUUCCACAAGCUUUGUUGUCUAUUUGAGCUCCACAGAAUUUAAGAAUCAAGAAGACUGGCAGACGGAGGACAUUCUAAUCGCUGUCAGAAUGCUGCUGACUUUCAAAUACACCUCUGCCACCUGCUAGCUACAUCAAGAGAAAUUACGUCAAAAUUCAGCUUGGGGGAGAGCACCCCCAUUUACCUCGAUAAGUAUUUCUAUCUAUCUAUCUUUAUACUUAUAUUAUUUUAAAAUAUAAAUACACAUAACUAUGAAAAACCAAAUAAAGAUUUUAUGCUUAUAUAUAUAUAUAUAUCUUUUGCUUAGUGUGUUUAAUAAAUAAAUAAAGUGGCUAUGCUAAUCUGUAUCUAAAUAAAACUUAAGCAUGGAUAUGAUAAAUAGUUGCUCUGCCUAGUUUGCAAAUUUUAAGUUCUCUCUCAAGUUUAGAUAUAACUGUUAUAAUUUAAAGCUUGCUCUAGACCUAAACUUGUGAGAUGAAAAUUUGAUCUGAAAUCUAAGUUGUUAACGGAUACGAUAUGGGAAGGUUGAGCUGCUGUUUAUCUGUUCCUAGAGAUGCUAGAAUUCUGGAGAAUUUUAUCUUUGAAAAUCUUUAAAAUGUUGCAUGAUGAGUUCCUGUAUGAUGAGAGUUUAAAUUCCUACCACAGCCAUAUAUACAUGCUUGCUAGACUUUGAGCCACACAUUUACUAUUUACUGCUUAUGAGCAUUGAGUGUGGUCAAGCUGUGUAGACCCUUAGGAGCUUGUCAUGUGGUUAAAUCAAGAUUUCACUUGCACGUUCACUCACAUAUGCUACUUCUACUCCGGAAGUACCAUCCACGUAUAUCCACCCAUUCCAUCUCCAGAAUCACCCAAAAAUGUUCUACUCCUAAUACCGGGAGAGAAUAACCAAAAAUAUUUCUGUUUUUCCCUUGUGAAAUAAAUGCUCAAGUUAUCUUGUUACUACCACUUGCUAUAUUAUCUCAAGGGAUGAAUUCUCUGAAAAAAAAGAAAGAAAAAAAAAAGAUACGAGGAAAUAAAAAGGAGCAAGUGCUCGGAACCUCGAAAGAAAAGAAAGAGUGAGACGAGAGGUAAAAAUGGACAAGUGUCCGACAGUAGAAUUAGGGGUGCAAGAUACCCACCUGAGAGACAAGAAAAAGAUAGAGCAUCUCAUUCUCAUCAUAAAGUUUCAAAAGCAAGGAAGGUAUGUAUCCCCUCAAAGAGCAAAAGUAGAAUUAGACUUCCACCACCAUUGUUUCCACCAUUGUUAUCACCAUCAUCACCAUACACCAUUCAUUCGCCACACAUGCACAUCUUGAUUUGGCUUAUUGAUUUGUUUCUUUGGAUCCAUGGUUUGACUAUGCAAUAAAUGUCUUAUAAGUAUGUAUACUUUAUCUCCCACCUAUGAACUCCAGAUAUUAAAGCCUUAUUAGAGUAGGGUGAGAGAGAGAGAAGGCAAUGUCACUAUGCCUCAUACCACAAAUACUACAUAUUUUGAGAGAAGGCAUAUACCAUCACUGCCUUGGUAAGGAUCCAAAAAUACCACAAAAGAGAGACCUUAGAGAAUCAUACAAGGAAUUUCUAAGUUUUAUUUGAAAAUCUGCAAAAACUCUAGAGCUAUAGCUGAUCAAGAAUAAGAGACAUGGCACUUGGCUAGACUGUUCUAUCUUUUAACCACUCAAGACAGAAGUGACAGUUACAAGUCCCAUGGUGAAGGUAAAGUAAGUAAGUUUUAAGUCUUGACAGUUUACUCUAACUCAGAGAUGAGAUCUUAUUUAAAAGCAUGUGUACCGUCAAAUUUUUUAAAGAUAUUGCAACUACUUAUGAUCCAUAGCUGAGUCUAUCCUUGCUCAGGGACGAGCAAGAGGUAAGCUUGGGGGAGUUUGUUGACGGUCCUUAAGUAUCAAAUUUAAUUAUCAAAUAAAUAAACAAAAGGAUCCAAAUGAAAUCAAGAUCUAGACUUAGGGUUUUAUCUGACAGAAUUCCACGAGUUUUGGUGUUUGUCUAUUUCUGCAGGGGGUUAUCAGGAAAUAUGGAAGAAAGGCCCACAUGUCGGGAUUACGUAAAGAUAUUAACGUGCUGCGCAAUUAUCUUACAUCUAGAAGACUCCAGAAGCCACGAGACCGAAGCGGAGACGAAACGGGGCCAGAGACAGGGCGCCCGCCCUGUCCUACUGGGUGCCCGCCCUGCCCCCAAGUCCAAUCAGGACUCUGCUUUGCGGGAGAUCGCCACCGACCUAAAGGAUGAAUCCAAACCAUACAAUCUAUGUCGGUUUGAUCCAACGGCCCAUAUUCACUUGGAGGGACUAUAAAACCAGACCCCCUGGCCCCUGGAGGAGAGAGCCUCUGAACCCUAAUUCAUUGUUCCAUCAAGGGAGAAGAAGCCUCUGAUCAAGAUUAGAGCCACCACAUCAAUUAGACAUCUAGAUUAGCAUAGCUACAUAGGAUUAGAACUAGAAGGAGUCAAUCUUCGAUUGGUUUCCGGAUCUGUCAAGAGGAUUCUUAGUAAUUCUCUAAUUGUGCUUCUAAUUGCUUUCUAAUUAUCUUUGUUCUUCAAUAUUAUGAAUAUGACUUUGUUCUACUUCAAUAUAUUGCUUAUGACUUU